rnacentral:rRNA from 1 species
ACUUAAAUUGAAGAGUUUGAUCAUGGCUCAGAUUGAACGCUGGCGGCAGGCCUAACACAUGCAAGUCGAGCGGUAGCACAGAGAGCUUGCUCUCGGGUGACGAGCGGCGGACGGGUGAGUAAUGUCUGGGAAACUGCCUGAUGGAGGGGGAUAACUACUGGAAACGGUAGCUAAUACCGCAUAACGUCGCAAGACCAAAGUGGGGGACCUUCGGGCCUCAUGCCAUCAGAUGUGCCCAGAUGGGAUUAGCUAGUAGGUGGGGUAACGGCUCACCUAGGCGACGAUCCCUAGCUGGUCUGAGAGGAUGACCAGCCACACUGGAACUGAGACACGGUCCAGACUCCUACGGGAGGCAGCAGUGGGGAAUAUUGCACAAUGGGCGCAAGCCUGAUGCAGCCAUGCCGCGUGUAUGAAGAAGGCCUUCGGGUUGUAAAGUACUUUCAGCGGGGAGGAAGGCGAUAAGGUUAAUAACCUUGUCGAUUGACGUUACCCGCAGAAGAAGCACCGGCUAACUCCGUGCCAGCAGCCGCGGUAAUACGGAGGGUGCAAGCGUUAAUCGGAAUUACUGGGCGUAAAGCGCACGCAGGCGGUCUGUCAAGUCGGAUGUGAAAUCCCCGGGCUCAACCUGGGAACUGCAUUCGAAACUGGCAGGCUAGAGUCUUGUAGAGGGGGGUAGAAUUCCAGGUGUAGCGGUGAAAUGCGUAGAGAUCUGGAGGAAUACCGGUGGCGAAGGCGGCCCCCUGGACAAAGACUGACGCUCAGGUGCGAAAGCGUGGGGAGCAAACAGGAUUAGAUACCCUGGUAGUCCACGCCGUAAACGAUGUCGAUUUGGAGGUUGUGCCCUUGAGGCGUGGCUUCCGGAGCUAACGCGUUAAAUCGACCGCCUGGGGAGUACGGCCGCAAGGUUAAAACUCAAAUGAAUUGACGGGGGCCCGCACAAGCGGUGGAGCAUGUGGUUUAAUUCGAUGCAACGCGAAGAACCUUACCUGGUCUUGACAUCCACAGAACUUAGCAGAGAUGCUUUGGUGCCUUCGGGAACUGUGAGACAGGUGCUGCAUGGCUGUCGUCAGCUCGUGUUGUGAAAUGUUGGGUUAAGUCCCGCAACGAGCGCAACCCUUAUCCUUUGUUGCCAGCGGUCCGGCCGGGAACUCAAAGGAGACUGCCAGUGAUAAACUGGAGGAAGGUGGGGAUGACGUCAAGUCAUCAUGGCCCUUACGACCAGGGCUACACACGUGCUACAAUGGCAUAUACAAAGAGAAGCGACCUCGCGAGAGCAAGCGGACCUCAUAAAGUAUGUCGUAGUCCGGAUUGGAGUCUGCAACUCGACUCCAUGAAGUCGGAAUCGCUAGUAAUCGUAGAUCAGAAUGCUACGGUGAAUACGUUCCCGGGCCUUGUACACACCGCCCGUCACACCAUGGGAGUGGGUUGCAAAAGAAGUAGGUAGCUUAACCUUCGGGAGGGCGCUUACCACUUUGUGAUUCAUGACUGGGGUGAAGUCGUAACAAGGUAACCGUAGGGGAACCUGCGGUUGGAUCACCUCCUUACCUUAAAGAA